CUCUGUGACUCCUACGGGAGGCAGCAGUGGGGAAUAUUGCACAAUGGGCGCAAGCCUGAUGCAGCAACGCCGUGUGAGUGAAGAAGGUUUCGGAUCGUAAACUCUGUCCUAAGGGAAGAAACAAAUGACGGUACCUUAGGAGGAAGCCCCGGCUAACUACGUGCCAGCAGCCGCGGUAAUACGUAGGGGGCAAGCGUUAUCCGGAAUCACUGGGCGUAAAGGGUGCGUAGGCGGCUUAGCAAGCCAGGGGUGAAAGGCAUUGGCUCAACCAAUGUAAGCCUUUGGAACUGUUAAGCUUGAGUGCAGGAGAGGUAAGUGGAAUUCCUAGUGUAGAGGUGAAAUUCGUAGAUAUUAGGAGGAACACCAGUGGCGAAGGCGACUUACUGGACUGUAACUGACGCUGAUGCACGAAAGCGUGGGUAGCGAACAGGAUUAGAUACCCUGGUAG
rnacentral:rRNA from 1 species